rnacentral:rRNA from 1 species
CAGUCGCCACGGUAAUACGUAGGUGGCAAGCGUUGUCCGGAAUUAUUGGGCGUAAAGGGCUCGCAGGCGGUUUCUUAAGUCUGAUGUGAAAGCCCCCGGCUCAACCGGGGAGGGUCAUUGGAAACUGGGAAACUUGAGUGCAGAAGAGGAGAGUGGAAUUCCACGUGUAGCGGUGAAAUGCGUAGAGAUGUGGAGGAACACCAGUGGCGAAGGCGACUCUCUGGUCUGUAACUGACGCUGAGAAGCGAAAGCGUGGGGAGCGAACAGGAUUAGAUACCCGCGUAGUCCCUGUCUCUUAUAC